rfam:Loxodonta africana unplaced genomic scaffold scaffold_20, whole genome shotgun sequence.
AACACCUGGGGAUCUUGUUCAAGUGCUGAUUCUGAGCCAGCAGGAAUGGAACGAGGCCUGAGAUUCUGCAUUUCUAACAAGUUCCCAGGUGAUGAAGC